UAUUUCCGAAAUUCAAAGAAAAGAAAUAGAAAAAAAAACCUAGGAACAUUCGGUCACUUGGAAGCUCAAAUUCAAGGUAUGUUUUGUUUGGUUUUUGAUAAUUUUUAUGUUUUUGAGAUCGUUACUUCGUGUUCUUCAAAACCCAUGUCUUAAUUUUAUGAAUUGUGGAUAAUUUUGAAAUGUGCCAUUGAUGAAUGCUUGAGUUUUAUGAUGCUAGUAGGUGAAAUAUGAAAUAUAUUUGUUAGAUUAAUAUGUAUUAUUUUGAAUUUUUGAUGAAAUUUAGUAAUUAGGGUUAAAUUGUGAAAAUAAAAUUUUCAAGGGACUAAAAUGCUAAAUAAAUGAAAAUAUGGAAUUAUAUGGACACUAGGAAUAUUCACCCAUUAGGAGUGUAGUUAAAUUUUGUGUAUUUUGUGUUUUGAGCAAAAAGGAUUAAAUUGUAAAAAGUGUGAAAUAUUAGGGGCAAAAUUGUAAUUUGCCCAUUCAUGUAUUUUUAGGCUAAAUUGAAUAGAAUGGUAUUUAAAUAAGCUUAAUUUAAAUAUAUUUAGAUCAAGAAUUAAAGAAAUCGAAUUUGGAUCGGGGAAAGACAAAAGUGGUCGAGUAGCCGAUUUAUCAGUCGACGAUAUCCGAGGUAAGUCUAUCAGCAUAUAAAUGUCGUUAAAUUUGAUAAUAUAUAUAUGUUACAUGUUGGAUGGAAUUUUUAUGAAUAUAUUUGUGUAUGGCCGAAUGUAUAUUGGGCAAAGGAGCUAUAUUCGAGUUCGAUUCGAUCGAGAUACGUUGUCCGAAAGUCCCGUACGAACCCUAGGAAUAGAUAGGAUACAUAUGUCAUGACAUAGGAUUUACGAUAUGUGUUAUCGUGUAAGACCACGUCUGGGACAUUGACAUCGACUUGUGUUUACGUGUAAGACCCUGUCUAGGACAGUCGCAUCGAUAUGUGAUUACAUGUAAGACCACGUCUGGGACGUUGGCAUUGUACGAGUUUCCAAUUAUCCGCGUAUCCUUUUUAAUUCCGAAUGGUUCAACGGGCAAUGUGAAGUAAAGACUGAAUGUGAAAUUAAAUUACGGGUUCAGGUAUGUGUUAGUUAUCUAUUUAUAUAGAAAUAAGGCAAGUGGUUAUUUGAAUUGAUGAAAGUUCUUAUUUUGACUAUGAACUAUGUGCUAACUUGCUUGAACAUAAAUGUGAUUUAGCCUAUUGAUGUAUUAGUAAUAAUGAAAGUGAAUAUAUAUAUAAGUAUAUGAUUGAUUAUGUUCGGCCAUAAGGUAUAGGUAUAUGAUGUUCAAAUGUGAUUUGGUAGUAAAUGAUAAUUUAAAUUUGAUAUAUGCAUAUUCAGCCUUUAUAAUAAAAUGUUAAUAUGUAAUUGUCGAUAAUUAUAAUUUUUGCUUAUGACUUACUAAGCUUAAAUAGCUUACUCUGUGUGUGUUAUUAUUCACCUUUGUUUUAUAGAUUUUGGAGUCGCGUUACGAGCUCGGGGAUCGUCAGCAAGAAUUAUCACACUAUCGACAAUUUUCUUCGUUAUUUUACUAAGUUAAUUUUGUGUAUGUGGCAUGUAUAGCAUAGAUGGAAUGUUGAUUUUGGAUUUAGUACUUGUAAAUGUAAUUAAUAGCCAUGCGAAAAUGGCUUAUCUUCUUUUGAUCGAGUUUGGUGUCUAUGCAUAUGGUCUUAAUGGUCAUUGAACUGGAGUUUAUAAUUAUGCAUAUUUGAUUAUGGUAUAAGCUUGUGAUACGAAAUUAAACAUGAUUUAUAUAUAGUUUGAACAUAUUAAAUUUGAUUAAGUGAUUAGUAUAUGUAUAAUAGUUAUGCAUUGGAUGAUGGAUUUAUUUGGUUAUGAGUUGAACUAAA
rnacentral:lncRNA from 1 species